GAUGAACGCUGGCGGCGUGCCUAAUACAUGCAAGUCGAGCGAACAGACGAGGAGCUUGCUCCUCUGACGUUAGCGGCGGACGGGUGAGUAACACGUGGAUAACCUACCUAUAAGACUGGGAUAACUUCGGGAAACCGGAGCUAAUACCGGAUAAUAUAUUGAACCGCAUGGUUCAAUAGUGAAAGACGGUUUUGCUGUCACUUAUAGAUGGAUCCGCGCCGCAUUAGCUAGUUGGUAAGGUAACGGCUUACCAAGGCAACGAUGCGUAGCCGACCUGAGAGGGUGAUCGGCCACACUGGAACUGAGACACGGUCCAGACUCUUACGGGAGGCAGCAGUAGGGAAUCUUCCGCAAUGGGCGAAAGCCUGACGGAGCAACGCCGCGUGAGUGAUGAAGGUCUUCGGAUCGUAAAACUCUGUUAUUAGGGAAGAACAAAUGUGUAAGUAACUAUGCACAUCUUGACGGUACCUAAUCAGAAAGCCACGGCUAACUACGUG
rnacentral:rRNA from 1 species